ensembl:snoRNA SNORA70 Small nucleolar RNA SNORA70
ACACUUUGUUUGUAACCAAUGGAGCUCUUUCUCCAUGGGGGCCCAGCGAGUAAUGGCUACAGACAGUGGCCUCCUUGGUGGUGUCUGCAGUCAGUUGAUUGUAUGGGUUGCCCUAAGGGACCUUGGAGACAGCC